rnacentral:misc_RNA from 1 species
UCUUUUGUUGUUUUAAUUUGAUUUUGUGAGCAUGAGAACACUUUAAGCUCUGAUACAAUGUAAAAUCAGUGGUGGAAAUCUAUAGGUGAAGCAACAUUUGAAAAAAAAAAAAAAACCAAACUAUGCAUAGUGCGGGCCUAACCUUUUGCAGGUUACGGCACUAGGGUGCCCAUAUAAGCUUGUGCGUCAGGCAUGCCUUCAGCUACUAGGAAUGUUGGUGAGCUUGUAGUGCUGACUGCUGAGUAUAUAUUAAUAUUAUUGUACUCUUGUAGUCCACCAAACAUUUUGAACACUUUGAUGAGGUUUUCUAUGUAAGUUUCUCCUUUGUUAUGUAGCAGAUGUUUCGUAUUCUAUUUUUCCCCAUCUUGUGCAACUUCACAUUUAGUUAUAUUUUCAUGGCUUGCUUACAAGUUUCACUUACCAUCUUAUCUUUUACUUAGAUAAUCUUGGAGAAGAUUG